GGGAUAUAACACUCUCAACCAUCACCCUUGUUAUCGAGACCACAUCAGCUGCGCUUGAACAAGCCUCUCCGCAUAAAAUAAAAGCAGCAGAAUGUGGAGUAAUUAUGGCCACUGUAUGUCUUAUCCUGCUAUUUGCUGAUCUUGUUUACAAGAGAUAUUCAGACUCAAUGCCUCAUUAUUUGGAUUGCAACUUUGCUGACAUUUUGGGCUUGUUCUCCUCUCUACUCACUUUGAUAUCUGCUUCUAUCCAUUAUAACUAUAUAAGUAAUGGCAAGCAACAGCCAAUACGGUUCUCAAUGAUGCCUCUAGCCUUCUCAGUGUGUGUGUUCUGCUCAUGUGUUUUUCGACGAUCCACUGAUAAGCUUCUGUUUACUAUGAGAUGCAAACACUUGGGUCCCAUGAAUUUGCAGAUAGAGAUGGGAGGAAAGCUAUAUGGUAAGGUGGGACCAACCCAAUUUGGCUGUUCAAUUUGCCAGAUAGGGCAGAUGCAUCCACGAGGCGUCUAGGCCUUCUCUGUUGUCUAUAUUACGAUGGGUCCAUUUGUGCCCCUUUUAUUCACUUAAACAAGAUAUAGAAACUUUUAUAUUGUAGCAGUACUUGCAGAUGAAC
rnacentral:misc_RNA from 1 species